rnacentral:rRNA from 1 species
CCUACGGGAGGCAGCAGUGAGGAAUAUUGGUCAAUGGACGAGAGUCUGAACCAGCCAAGUAGCGUGAAGGAUGACUGCCCUAUGGGUUGUAAACUUCUUUUAUAUGGGAAUAAAACGUUCCACGUGUGGGAUUUUGUCUGUACCAUAUGAAUAAGGAUCGGCUAACUCCGUGCCAGCAGCCGCGGUAAUACGGAGGAUCCGAGCGUUAUCCGGAUUUAUUGGGUUUAAAGGGAGCGUAGGUGGAUUGUUAAGUCAGUUGUGAAAGUUUGCGGCUCAACCGUAAAAUUGCAGUUGAAACUGGCAGUCUUGAGUACAGUAGAGGUGGGCGGAAUUCGUGGUGUAGCGGUGAAAUGCUUAGAUAUCACGAAGAACUCCGAUUGCGAAGGCAGUUCACUGGACUGCAACUGACACUGAGGCUCGAAAGUGUGGGUAUCAAACAGGAUUAGAUACCCCGGUAGUC